rnacentral:misc_RNA from 1 species
GGUUAGGUUAUAUUAAUGAGCAUCCGCUAUUUGAAGCAGACGCUAUUAAUCGCAUUCGCGAAACCUGUCUUAUACGUGAAUAACGUGAUUUUAACAAGUAAAUCUGAAUAGCCGGUCGAGAUGUCCGCUGGUGGGACGAAAAAUGUGAUCACGAUAGAUGACGACGAUGAGUAUCAAGUCACGGAGAACGACGAGAUAGCUGCCAUCGAUUACGAGUUACAGCAAAUAGAGACUGAACUGCAAAAACUCGAGGACCGCAAGAAAAUAUUGACUCAACGCAAGGAGAAAUUACGCGACGACGCUCUUUUGAAGAAGAGCUUCUCUUUGUCCAAGAAGAAUUGGAACAACGAGGACUUUGAGUGGUCUACCAAGCUGAAGAAAGCGUUGAAGACUACCUUCAAGAUCGAAAAGUUGCGGGACUUGCAAUUACCGACGAUGAAUGCCAUCAUGUCCAACGAAGAUGUUAUAUUAAUUAUGCCUACAGGUGGUGGCAAGAGUUUAUGUUACCAGUUGCCAGCUGUGAUCAGCAAGGGUGUAACGAUAGUGGUAUCGCCAUUGGUGUCUUUGAUGGAGGAUCAGUUGCAUGGUUUACGUAGAUUCAACGUCAAAGCUACCAUGCUAUGUGCCAAGGCUGACAAAGAUAGCGUCAAGAUGACCAUGAAUGCUCUAGUGGAUAAAACUACUGAUCUUAAACUGAUUUAUGUGACGCCAGAGUACAUGGCAAAGUCCAAUCGUUUCAUGAGCAAACUGCAGAAGGCUUAUGAGCUGCAGAAUCUUGCUUGCUUCGCCAUAGACGAGGUGCACUGUUGCAGUCAAUGGGGUCACGACUUUCGGCCGGACUACAAGUUCUUAGGGGUGCUGAAGUCCAUGUUCCCCAGCAUAUCGCUUCUAGGUCUUACCGCUACGGCACCGGCUAAGAUUAUUGUGGAUGUACAGAAAAUGCUGGACAUCAGCGGCUGUCUGGUGCUGCGAGCUUCGUUCAACAGGCCAAAUUUGUUCUACGAAGUUCGUCGUAAACCGUCGGACAAGGAUACGUGCCUGACGAUGAUCGAGAAUCUGUUAAAGAACAGAUUCGCCGGCAAGUCGGGUAUAAUCUACACUACUACUAUCAAGGACGCCGAACAAUUGACCACAGACUUAAGGCAGAAGGGUAUCAAGAUCGGCUGUUACCACGCGAUGCUCGAGGCUGAAUAUAGGUCAGAAGUCUACUCUAAGUGGAUUUCAGGCAAGUAUCAAGCGGUGGUCGCGACCAUCGCAUUUGGCUUAGGUAUCGACAAGCCGGACGUACGGUUCGUCAUUCAUCACUGCAUCUCCAAGUCAAUGGAGAACUUUUACCAAGAGAGCGGUCGAGCUGGCAGAGACGGCAAGAAGUCAGUGUGCAUCGUGCUCUACAGACUGGCGGAUGUGUUCAAGCUCAGCACCAUGGUGUUUCAGGACAAGGUCGGGCUGCAGAACUUGUACAAGGUGUUAACAUACUGCCUGGACCAGGUGUCCUGCAGGCGAAGCUUGAUCGCGACGCAUUUCGAGGAGACCUGGGACAAGAGUGACUGCGUGGAGAUGUGCGACCACUGCAGGAAACCGGGUGUUGUCAAGGACACCGACGUGGCGUACUACUGUAGACAGUUGUAUCAGAUCAUGACUAAAGCGGUGCAGAAUGAAACGCGAUUGACCGCGUUGAAGCUCGUGGACGCUUGGUACGGCAAAGGUGCUACGACGUUGCGAGUUGCCAAUGUGCCCGUGCCGAAGUUCACGAGGGAAACCGGGGAGGCUAUCGUGGGUCACCUGCUGGCGAACGGUUAUCUACAGGAGGACUUUCAUUUCUCAGCGUAUUCCACGAUCUCGUAUUUGAAACGUGGACCCAAGUCGGGACUGGCCGCCAGUCAGGAUCACAAGAUACUCAUCAACUACGACUUACACUACUAACUCCAACCAAACGCACUGAUAACACACCAUCGACUGCGCGACCAUUCAUGCGAACAAUUGUCCAGCUGCACAUGCGGAUUUUCUCGAGAGUCACGUACCUGCGCGGCGGCGGUGACGGUGGCGACGGCGACGGCGACGACAACGACGACGACGACGACGAGGAACACGGUAGA